rnacentral:rRNA from 1 species
ACGAACGCUGGCGGCGUGCUUAACACAUGCAAGUCGAACGGUGAAGGGAUCAGCUUGCUGGUUCUGGAUGAGUGGCGAACGGGUGAGUAACACGUGAGGAACCUGCCCCCUUCUUCUGGAUAACCGCAUGAAAGUGUGGCUAAUACGGGAUAUUCUGCGCCUGCUGCAUGGUGGGUGUGGGAAAGAUAUUGUUUCGGUGGGGGAUGGGCUCGCGGCCUAUCAGCUUGUUGGUGGGGUGAUGGCCUACCAAGGCGGUGACGGGUAGCCGGCCUGAGAGGGUGGACGGUCACACUGGGACUGAGACACGGCCCAGACUCCUACGGGAGGCAGCAGUGGGGAAUAUUGCACAAUGGGCGCAAGCCUGAUGCAGCGACGCCGCGUGAGGGAUGGAGGCCUUCGGGUUGUGAACCUCUUUCGCCAGUGAAGCAGGCCUGUCCCUUGUGGGUGGGUUGACGGUAGCUGGAUAAGAAGCGCCGGCUAACUACGUG